AAUACCCCCUCACAUCUAAUGUGGUAUUGGCUGAAGUGAUGGGAAUUGUACCCAAGAGUCACUAUGCUGAAAUCUAUUGCGUGGAUAACUGAUUCCGGUAAUUGACUUUGUAAGCGUUAUUGAGAACGGAAACCAGUCGAGUAUCGGUAUAAGUUGCGCACAUCUGGACCCCCAUCCAGCGUAAAGCUCUG
rnacentral:misc_RNA from 1 species